CAGCCAUGCCGCGUGCAGGAAGANUGCCCUAUGGGUUGUAAACUGCUUUUAUACAGGAAGAAACACUGCUACGUGUAGCAGCUUGACGGUACUGUAAGAAUAAGGAUCGGCUAACUCCGUGCCAGCAGCCGCGGUAAUACGGAGGAUCCAAGCGUUAUCCGGAAUCAUUGGGUUUAAAGGGUCCGUAGGUGGAUAAUUAAGUCAGAGGUGAAAUCCUGCAGCUCAACUGUAGAAUUGCCUUUGAUACUGGUUAUCUUGAGUUAUUAUGAAGUAGUUAGAAUAUGUAGUGUAGCGGUGAAAUGCAUAGAUAUUACAUAGAAUACCAAUUGCGAAGGCAGAUUACUAAUAAUAUACUGACACUGAUGGACGAAAGCGUGGGGAGCGAACAGGAUUAGAUACCCUGGUAG
rnacentral:rRNA from 1 species